CUAAGUCUGAACCCGAUUCUUGUGUUUCUGAAAAAAAAAAACCCUACGUUCUCUUCUCUUCAGUCUCCGCCUCCCUCAGCUCUUUGCCUCCCUCCCUCCCUCACUUCUCUCUUUAUUCCUCAAAGGUUUAAACCUCAUCCUUACAAGCCAGUUUCAAGCCAUUUGCUCCAUUUGUCUCUGUGUUUUUAACUAAAGAGCUCUUCUGCCUCUCUCUGGGGUUUCACUAUUUUGCUUUUCGCCAAGGCAAUGUCAACCUCUUGACUACUGGUUUAAUUGUUCUCCGUCUUUCUUACUUGGUAUUAGGCAGUAGUAGCUGAUGAUAUAUGCAUUAGCUAUGACAAAAAGGUGGUCGAGCUUUGAUAUGUAUCCAACAUUUGACUAGAAUUAUCCAAGGUUUCUGUGUAAAGGUGUGGAAAUUACCCAGAAGUAUUCCUUAUGUUAGAAUCCUCUAUAGGAUCAGGUUGGGAUCGCAAUCCCACAACCCAAGUCACUGUUCAACCUCAACUCUAACACCCUCACUGAUCAUCACAGUCAGAUCAAGACUUUCUGCAUAGCACAUAGGACUAAUGCCCCACUUUCCACAUAAAAUCCUGUUAAGAACUGAAUCAAUAGCCUUGCAUUUGCUUGCAAAAGCCUAACACCACAACCACCAGCAACCCCAUGUGUAUGAAGCCAAGUUUAAUGUUGGAGCUUGAAGAAGUGCUUACAUGCAGGAUUAUUGAAAAGAAACUUUUUUUUGACAACUAAGCAUUCUGUCCAGCAAUGGAUUGCUGUAAUUUGUUUCACGACUAAGCAUUUUGUUGUAAUGUAAAGCUUUAGAUAUCUUGUCAUAGUUUUUCAUUUCCGGCUCUUUAGUGCUUGUGUUGGUUUUUAUGCAUUUGUUUUGCUUUCUCAAAGUUCUAACACUGUUUGGAGAGUACACAACAGAAUGAAAUGAAUUAGAGUGGAUAGGUUAUAAAUGAAUGGAAUGUGGAGGACUAUAUUAUUUUCUUUUGUUUGGUGUGCUUUGGAGUUGCAUAAUAGAAGGAAUAGAAAGAAGAGAUAUCAUACUUUGAUGGUUCAAUGAA